UUGAACAAGCUGGGGCGCUCUUCAUUGAGCUGAGAAGGACCCAUCGAACCUGAUACGGUUAGCACCGACGAAGGGAGCUUGUGGUCCUUAACC
rnacentral:ncRNA from 1 species